rnacentral:lncRNA from 1 species
CUAGAACCCUCUGCAGGUCCUGGUGAACGCCAUCAUCAACAGUGGUCCCCGGGAGGACUCCACACGCAUUGGGCGCGCCGGGACUGUGAGACGACAGGCUGUGGAUGUGUCCCCCCUGCGCCGUGUGAACCAGCCAUCUGGCUGCUGUGCACAGGCGCUCGUGAGGCUGCCUUCCGGAACAUUAAGACCAUUGCUGAGUGCCUGGCAGAUGAGCUCAUCAAUGCUGCCAAGGCUCCUCGAACUCCUAUGCCAUUAAGAAGAAGGACGAGCUGGAGCGUGUGGCCAAGUCCAACCGCUGAUUUUCCCAGCUGCUGCCCAAUAAACCUGUCUGCCCUUUGGGGCAGUCCCAGC